GACGAACGCUGGCGGCGUGCUUAACACAUGCAAGUCGAACGGAAAGGCCCUGCUUUUGUGGGGUGCUCGAGUGGCGAACGGGUGAGUAACACGUGAGUAACCUGCCCUUGACUUUGUGAUAACUUCAGGAAACUGGGGCUAAUACCGGAUAGGAUCUCCUGCUGCGUGGGGGGGGUUGGAAAGUUUCGGCGGUUGUGGAUGGACUCGCGGCUUAUCAGCUGGUUGGGGGGGUAGUGGCUUACCAAGGCUUUGACGGGUAGCCGGCCUGAGAGGGUGACCGGCCACAUUGGGACUGAGAUACGGCCCAGACGCCUACGGGAGGCAGCAGUGGGGAAUAUUGCACAAUGGGCGGAAGCCUGAUGCAGAAACGCCGCGUGCGGGAUGCCGGCCUUCGGGUUGUAAACCGCUUUCGCCUGUGACGAAGCGUGAGUGACGGUAAUGGGUAAAGAAGCACCGGCUAACUACGUG
rnacentral:rRNA from 1 species